rfam:Gossypium raimondii chromosome 10, whole genome shotgun sequence.
AUCUCGUGAUGAGGGAAUCUACGUAAUAACUCCUUAAAUCUUUCUCAUGCCUCGUAUAAGGACUCGUCAUCUAAUUCUUGAAAAGUGAUGAUCUCAUUCCGCAACU